rnacentral:rRNA from 1 species
AUUGAACGCUGGCGGCAGGCCUAACACAUGCAAGUCGAACGAGUGGCGGACGGGUGAGUAAUGUCUGGGAAACUGCCUGAUGGAGGGGGAUAACUACUGGAAACGGUAGCUAAUACCGCAUACCAUCAGAUUUUCCCAGAUGGGAUUAGCUGGUUGGUGGGGUACCGGCUCACCAAAGCGACGAUCCCUAGCUGGUCUGAGAGGAUGACCAGCCACAAUGCACCUGAGACACGGGCCAGAACCGUACGUGAGGCAACAGUUGGGAGUAUUGCACAAUGGGCUCAAGCCUGAGGCAGCCAUGCCGCGUGUAUGAAGAAGGCCUUCGGGUUGUAAAGUACUUUCAGCGGGGAGACGUUACCCGCAGAAGAAGCGCCGGCUAACUCCUGUCCAGCAGCCGCGGUAAUAC